rnacentral:rRNA from 1 species
UACGGAGGGAGCUAGCGUUGUUCGGAAUUACUGGGCGUAAAGCGCACGUAGGCGGCUAUUCAAGUCGGGGGUGAAAGCCCGGGGCUCAACCCCGGAACAGCCCUCGAAACUAGAUAGCUAGAAUCUUGGAGAGGUCAGUGGAAUUCCGAGUGUAGAGGUGAAAUUCGUAGAUAUUCGGAAGAACACCAGUGGCGAAGGCGACUGACUGGACAAGUAUUGACGCUGAGGUGCGAAAGCGUGGGGAGCAAACAGGG